UUCGAUUCUGGCUCAGGAUGAACGCUAGCUACAGGCUAACACAUGCAAGUCGAGGGGCAUCAGGGACUGUGCUUGCACAGUUUGCUGGCGACCGGCGCACGGGUGAGUAACGCGUAUCCAACCUUCCCCUUAGUAGGGCAUAGCCCGUAGAAAUGCGGAUUAAUACCCUAUGUUCUUCGUCGAGGACAUCUGAAGUGAAGCAAAGAUUCAUCGCUAAGGGAUGGGGAUGCGUCUGAUUAGCUUGCCGGCGGGGUAACGGCCCACCGGGGCAACGAUCAGUAGGGGUUCUGAGAGGAAGGUCCCCCACAUUGGAACUGAGACACGGUCCAAACUCCUACGGGAGGCAGCAGUGAGGAAUAUUGGUCAAUGGUCGAGAGACUGAACCAGCCAAGUAGCCGUGCAGGAUGACGGCCCUAUGGGUUGUAAACUGCUUUUAUGCGGGGAUAAAGUGGGGGACGUGUCCCUUUUUGUAGGUACCGCAUGAAUAAGGACCGGCUAAUUCCGUGCCAGCAGCUGC
rnacentral:rRNA from 1 species